rnacentral:tRNA from 1 species
GCCUUCGUGGUGUAGAGGUCAGCACUCUCGGCGCGUAUUCGAGAGGUCCGUGGUUCGAGUCCCGGCGAGAGCA